rnacentral:lncRNA from 1 species
AAGAAUAUAUAAAUUUUGAUUGGAUUCAUCACACAAAAAGGAAGUAUUAAAAUUGGUAAACUCUUGCAUUCAGAGUUAGAAGCAUAGUAAUGGAUGCACACAGCUUACUUUCUGAAUUCUGAUGAUGGAAACUAAAAAACAGUGCUUCAAAAGUCCUCUGCUCUGCUCUCUCUCACACUACAAUGUUCCUGUAAGAUCUGGUGAUAAUCUGUUUCUUUUGUCCAAUAUUCUUUGUUCUUAACUUCUCAGUGGUAUUAUUUUUCCAAGCUUUUUAGGGGUUACACUUACACUUCCUUCUCAGUCACAUACAUCUAAGUUACAUAAGAUUAUAAUGCGAGGAUGAUAAUUGUGAACUUUGAUACUUAUCUCCAGAAAAUAUUAAAUGAGUGGAAUAAUAAUACAAUCCUUGAGCUAACAAACUUGUAUGAGUUGAUGAUCCUUUAUACUGGGGAGUUUUGAAUCAUUGUUUUCUAAUGUGCUUCCUUUAUGAAGGGGAGUUCAAGAAAAUAUUUGAAUCCUUGAUUGUUACUUUUUUUUAUUUUUGAAUAAUUACUUGAUUGAUACUUAGUUUUGUGUCUCAUGCAUUUGUAUUUCUUUGUCAUGUAUAUAUGUUAUGAUUUUCACAUUUAUGUUUAUAUUUAUAUUUUACGAAACCAACACAUUCACAUAAUAAAGAUAUUAACAGAUAUAUUUUUUUAUCUAUGAUGAUAAAAAGUAAAAGCAACAAUCAUCCAAAUCUCAAUCUAUCUAUUUUCCAUUCGUUCUUGAUAUAAAUUGGCAGAGAAACUUUAUGGAAGAGAUAAAGUCAUAAAACCCUUAAAAUUCAUCAGUAAUUUCCAUCAAGUUACCAAAAUAAAUAGAAACAUACAUAUUUACCAAGUAGAAAAUAUCUCAAAUCGAUAUUUUUACCCCUGAAAUGAAAAGUGGGGAGGUGAGCGAUGAAAUUGGGGAAAAUGGUGGUCUAAAAGGUCACGCGUGGUACUCACACGCCGGGAAUUCUGUUGUGAGUGAGUGUCAUGCAGAGAGAUAUAUACAAUAAAAGUUGAAAUAACUUAAAAAGUUAACCUUAGUCGACACAUGCAGAGAGAUUAUUUCCACGCGUGUAAAAAUAACUUAAAAAGUUGACCUUAGUCGACACAUGUUAUUUUUUUCUUCAAAUGUAUGAGCUAAAAAUUAAAUCUCCACUAAAAAUGGUUAAAAUAUAUACUAAAACAUAUACGAUUUGUACCACACUAUGUUGAUAACUUCUUGUAGUUUUUAGUUUAUUAUAAUAUUUUAGAGUUUAAAGCUUAAUGAACGUUACUUACAGUCAUGCUUUAUAUGGAUUGAGCACCAAUUUGUCUUCAUAUAUCCUUUAAAAAUUACUAUCCAUCAAUAGUACGAGUCUGCUUUCAUAAAAACAAAACACAUGAACAGAUGAAAUUUAACCAUCCUAUUUCUAUUGAAGCUCGAAAGAAAAAUCUAUUGAAGCUAGUACAAUUUCCUUCAAAAAAAUUGAAGCUUCUACAAUUAAUAUUGCAACUAUUUUCAGGUCACUUCAUAUAUACCAAUUCCUUUCAUAAAAAAUACUAACAUAUAUCUUCAAUAAUAAAGAAUAAAAGAAUAACAAUAUAAAAUUAGUUUUUCUUUAUAAGAAUAACAUUUUUUAAUUAAUUUUUCAUUUUAAAAUUUUUAAAGUAAUCAUACAUUAACAUUUGUGUUAAUAAAAAUAUGAUGCACAAUUUUAGAAGCAAAGUUUUGUUGGUGAAAACGACUUUUCGAUUUCCUUUUUGUGGCAUUCGCUUUCUUUAGCUGAAAAGUACUAAUUUGAAGAACAAAGCCACAGAUAGAUAGAUAGAUAGAUAGGAUUGAAAACUAAAACAACUUUUGAAUUAAUUUAUCGCACUUCAUUUCCAAUUACUAUAAUGGUGGCUCUUGUUGUCAUUGCAGUGCAGACAAGUGCUUGCCUUUGCUCUUGUGUUGUUAUCUAUUAAAAUAAAUGAAUUAAUUAAUUAAUCUCGGUGGUGGAAGUGGAUGUCAUGAACAUAAAAUGUAGAAUAUUCUUUUUAGUUCUAUUUUAUUGUAUACACAGCAUAAUUAGUCAUUAUCCUUUUUCGGAACAAGGUGGGUGUUAGGUAAACAUAAUAUGCAUUAUGUGAAUAAAAUAUAUCAUGCUCAAAUUCUUGUUCUUGUUUUAAACAAGUUAUAAAUUUUAAUUUGUUUUGUUUUACUCGUAAACUCUACAACACUCAUACACACUGCGGACUAUUUACGCUAGACUAAAAUUGCAGUGAAUAAAUUUUAUGAAAAACUAGAAAGUAUCCAAAUUGGGUAAACUCUUGCAUUGAUUGUUAAAUGCACGAAAAGCUCAUUAAUGAUGAUGAGAUUGAGAAAGAAGGGGGAUGUUCCAUUAAGCAACAUUGAGAAGAGGUACCUAGGGAUAGUAAUGGAUGCAUAAUGGUGGACCAUCAUUAUAUUCCAACACAGCUCUUGAAGGCUUACAUUCCUCUUUGAUCAGUGACAAACAUCUAAUUACUUAUUUUGAUAUAUAAGAUUAUACGGUGAGGAUGAUAAUGAUGGACUUCGAUACAAAAAUGGCAACCAACGAUCAAAUAGUAAUUAUUACAUUUGUUUGACUCUUUAAGGGGUGACUUCUUAAUAUAUCUUGUACUUAGGAGGUUUCACCGCCUUUGUUAAUAUAUACUAUUUUUGUUUCUUCAAAAAAAAAAAGAUCAAAUAGUCCCAACAACAAUUUUCAAUCUAGAACAACACAAAUGUAAAAAACAUAACAAAUAGGAAUUCUUGUAACUAAUCAAAUAUAAAAAAAAUUGGGCUCCAAAUAAUUUAAGAUUUAUAUAUUUUUCACAUACUUGGUUGAUAUGAUUGUUUAUUUGUUCUUUUGGCAUUCAUUAAUCAAUUUCAGUUCAAUGUCUGCAGAUCGAACCUUUUUUAAAAGAAUGAAGGAGUUGAGAUUUGAACUGGCAUACAUUAAAACUUAUGAGGUACACAAUCCGCUACGUCAAACUUGAAAUCUUGUUAAACGUAUCAUGCGUUGACUAUGUACUACUAUAAACAUCAACUGGCAUAUUACAACUCAAAAUUUGGGUCUCUAAAAAUAUGAGGCUCGACACCGUAGAACUGGUUGCACAUCCUUUGAGUCGGGACUGUCUAGAACAAAUAUAGCAACUUUGUGUAUAACAAAUUCACAAUAAAACCAAAUAACGUAUAUAUUGUUAAG